CCCGUAUUCAGUCACUGAUCACCAUCACAGCCUGUGGUUUCAGGGAGGCUGGCUCUCUCUUUAGCUCCACUGGUGGAUGUGAGCAGUCUGGGGAUAAUCCCUCCAGCGCUGGUACAGUGCUUCACGAAUCCAGGCCUAAGACAGUCAGCACCUGGCAAGUCCCUGGACUCAAAGGCUGAUUCACGAAUGGGCAUGUGGUCCAGCUCAGGCCAAAGAGAUAAGAGGAGAAGUUUCUUGCAGCUCUGAGUAAGACAUUUCCUAUCUCUAAAUUGGAAAUCAUUGGAUGUUGGAGGGAAGUAAAUACACUCAGGAAGGGAUGAUCUUGAAACUGCGGAGAUCGUGAAACUGAGCUAGAGUCUCUGGGUUAAUAAAUUCUGAAGUCUAACUAGUCUCUAGGAUUCCCCUUACCUGAGCCAAAUACAUUCCCUUAUUAUUUAAGCCAGUCUGAAUUGUUGUUUUGUUUUUGUUCUUGCUCAAACAAACCACCUCAAAUCCUUUUUGGAACAAGGCAGAACGUAAAUAAACAAAGCAAGCCUCAAAAGUGACAGCCCAUGUCAACAAGGAGUCAUUCAUGAAGAUCCCGGCCACUUCUCCAAGCUCAUCUCUUGCUGUGCUGGGAAUAUAAAAGAGAAUUAGAUUCACUGGAUCCCUCCCAUUCACUGUAGUUUCUCGAGGAAAACAGAUGAACAGGUAAUGAGAUGUAUUAACGUAAGUACAAGGCCCUGCAGAAUAACAUAACAGGGCACCUCAUUAUUAUCUGGGAUUGACUGAAAUAUCAGAAUGUGCCUCUAGGCCAGUUAAGCCUGACAGUCAAUCUCCUUUGCAGUUUAAUCUCAACUUUCCAUUUCUGAGUUUUCAGGGUGCCUUUUUUGUCCCACUCAUUGCAUUUAACAAUAAUAACAAAGUAGCUACCACUUAAUAAGUAACUGUUUGAGAGGUUCCUAUGAAGCCCCUUCCACAAAUACUGGUUAUUUUAAUCCUUCCUUGGAUUAGAAACAGAAUCCAAUGUAAGGAUUUCAUAACUCCAUAACUGACUCUACACACAAUUUUAUUUUCUGCUUAUCUAAAUUAUUUUUACCAGUCUCUUUAAUCAAGUUUUUCAUAUUAACGUGUAUUUCUGUAGUUAGAUGAUGAUGAUGAUGUUGAUGAUAACAAUAGUUUAUGUUUAUUUGAUGCUUGCUGUUUUGCUAGAUAUGGUACUAAACUCUUCACAAGGCAUCGUCUCAUUUAAAUGGCUCAAUAAAGUUAUGGGGUAGAUCUAAUUAUUCUCCAUAUUUGACAGAUGAG
rnacentral:lncRNA from 1 species